rnacentral:tRNA from 1 species
GGGUGUAGUUCAGUUGGUAGAACGACGGUCUCCAAAACCGUAUGUCGCGGGUUCAAGUCCUUCCGCCC